AAAUUUGGCAAUGCUAACUUUCAAAUAUUAGGAAGCAGUACCACCUCCACAGAGGGUAGAAACAGGGACUUUGAGCUGAGACACGCUUUGCAGGACAGGCGCUUAGUGAUGUCCUCCCUGUGCCUAUCCUGCCAGGUUUGAUGGCAGCACUUGGCUGGCUGGAAAAGUCACUCCAUGUCGCAGACCUGCAGCUGACACCCAGAAAGCCACACCAUGACAACAGCCAGGCUUAACCCCCUGCUGCACACACACAAGGUCUGCUGCUUCCCAAGUCUUGCGAUGGCAACUCGGGCCCCAAGGGCUGCAUCGUGGAGGGCAAAGAAUAAACAGCGCGGCACCGCAGGCUGCCGCUGGGCACCCCACAUUCCCAUGAGAAACUUGCAAAGUUGGAUAUACUGCGUCACAGCAGCCUGCAAACCGGAGGCCUGGGUGGUUUAAAAAUACCGCCUGCCACAUAUUUCCCAGGCCAUAUAUAGUUCACACAUCUCACGGUAGCAGGAAGGAGCUGUAAAGACACACAGUGACACAGAGAAGGAAAAAAGCAACGGGAGACGCAUCUGCCAGCAUGCAACAAAGCCAGGUUAAAAAUAGCUAGGGCUGCAGCAGCUCCCUUCUGGCAGGGGGUGCAGGGCCGCUGGCUCUCCCUGCCCUCACUGGCCCCCCUCCCUGCUGCUUAUUUUCUGCCAGGAGGAAAGGGUCGGAAGGAAGCCUUUGGUUCCUGUAGGCAGAAAGAGGGAAAAUGACAGCCCUGCCUGCUUUGACACUGAGCAGGCUCACCCAGGCUCGCACAGACACCCGGCUUGACCGGAGCUGCGGGAACCCCUUCCUGAGGGGUGGGUUGGGGGCACAGGAAGAGCACAGCCUUGGAUGGCCUUGCUCACAGUCCCCAGCAGCCAGAGGCAUAGCUCCAAGCGAUGUGAUGCCACAAUGCUCAGAGAUGUCGUAUCAUACUGCCCAGAAAGGAAUGCAGCCUGCACUUUGAGUCAUUGCACAGAGAAAGAAGCAACAUGCCAAAAGGAGAGACGUGAGCAUCUUCUCCAUCACCUUCUCCUAGCCUGAUACUUUGCAGUAAAACCACAAAUAUGAACAUGUGUGUCCACAGGAAUAUUGCAGCCAAGAAGCAAACAGAAAGGUAUAAUGAAAUGUUUCUGUGCAGAAAACAGAAAAAAAAAAAAGAGUAGAAUAAAGUUCAAACUGAUACAAAAAACGUGUAUUGGGUACAAUACACCCUCCAUCUCACAGCUUCAUCCAGAGGUGAAGAAAACAUUUUCCUGUGUCUAAGGACUCCCUGAAGAGGAAUGGGCUUUCAGCAGGGAGGAUGCACAGCGCUGUGCAAGCUCUUCGCAGGAAGGAAAUAUGGGAUCUCAUGGCAGCCUUUAUUGUAGAAGGUCUUCCCUUUAAAUAUGUGGCAAGUCACAAAUUCAAAGCAAAGAGUUGCAUGAAAUGGAGCUGUAACUUUAUAUCUAAAUGUGUAAUUCAAUUAUAAACUGAAUAUCUUGGCCAUCGGCCACAAUAAAAGAAAUGUCCUAUCAA